rnacentral:misc_RNA from 1 species
AGGACCUGUGGGACAAGAUUCUU